GUAAGGAAUAUUGGUCAAUGGGCGGAAGCCUGAACCAGCCAUGCCGCGUGCAGGAAGACGGCCCUACGGGUUGUAAACUGCUUUUGCAGGGGAAUAAACCCCCGAUCGUGAUCGGGGUUGAAUGUACCUUGAGAAUAAGGAUCGGCUAACUCCGUGCCAGCAGCCGCGGUAAUACGGAGGAUCCGAGCGUUAUCCGGAUUUAUUGGGUUUAAAGGGUGCGUAGGCGGCCUUGUAAGUCAGGGGUGAAAGACGGUAGCUCAACUAUCGCAGUGCCUUUGAUACUGCAGGGCUUGAAUGUACUAGAGGUAGGCGGAAUGUGACAAGUAGCGGUGAAAUGCAUAGAUAUGUCACAGAACACCAAUUGCGAAGGCAGCUUACUAUGGUAUGAUUGACGCUGAGGCACGAAAGCGUGGGGAUCAAACAGGAUUAGAUACCCCUGUAGUCC
rnacentral:rRNA from 1 species